rnacentral:misc_RNA from 1 species
GGUAUGAUUAUACAAUCCUCAAAAGUUCACAAUUUAAUUGGUUUUUUUUUUUUUUUUAGGGUGGAAUUGCAAACUUUUUGAAAGUUCAAGUUUUUUUUUUUUUUAAAAAUAAUUUCCCCUAUGAUAUAUGAACAAUUAUAUGAUACACAAUCACGUCUUACAAUCCCCAAAAACUACAAAUAGAUGAGUUGAAUUUGACUUCACUCACAGAUCUAAAUCCUUGUGCAGUAGCAAUCG